UACGGAGGGAGCUAGCGUUGUUCAGAAUUACUGGGCGUAAAGCGCGCGUAGGCGGCCUUGUAAGUUAGAGGUGAAAGCCCGGGGCUCAACUCCGGAACUGCCUUUAAGACUGCAUCGCUUGAAUCCGGGAGAGGUGAGUGGAAUUCCGAGUGUAGAGGUGAAAUUCGUAGAUAUUCGGAAGAACACCCGUGGCGAAGGCGGCUCUCUGGGACGGUACUGACGCUGAGACGCGAAAGCGUGGGGAGCGAACAGG
rnacentral:rRNA from 1 species